UAGAUGGCGACCUUUUUAGGACAUAUGCGGCACAUUUGCUCAGAAUUAACACUGAGAAGAAAAGGAAAAACAAGAAAAACAACAAACUACUGAAUACUGCAAUUCCAGAACAGACACCGCUUUGACGAUCGUGUCGGGGGUUAAAAGAGUCCGAGAGAGUGAGGGCUCAGGUCAUCAGUGCUCCAUAGCGUGCAGCGUGUGGCAGCAGACAGCGGGAGACUCCGCACACAUGUGGACUUCACAUCAGCGCCAGCGGAAGGAUGAGUCGGGGAGACAGCACAGCGGCCCACUCCGAACUUACUUAAGGUAAUUAAACAUGAGAAAGGUUACGGUUUGAUGCUGAGCUGAGGAGAAAGGCCUUUCUUCUGGGCAUGGGCCAGGAAGGGCCACCUCGUCAAAGAGACUAAAUAGUGACGCAUCUACUCUUUUUGGUAAGCGGAGAGGACACAGGAAUGGCUUCGACGCUGACAGAAUAAGGAUGAGGCACAACAGGGCAAAGAUAGUGGUAAUUCAAUUAGAAAACCAACCUUUUGUUUUUCUUGAAGUCUAUUGUUAAAGAAGAG
ensembl:lncRNA